rnacentral:rRNA from 1 species
UGGCUCAGGAUGAACGCUGGCGGCAGGCUUAACACAUGCAAGUCGAGGGGCAGCGCGGGGGUAGCAAUACUCCUGGCGGCGACCGGCGCACUGGUGAGUAACACGUAUGCGACCUGCCCCGGACAGGGGGAUAAACCCGGGAAACCGGGCCUAAUACCCCAUAUGCCCUAAGGAUGCAUGUCCUUUGGGUGAAAGAUCCGUCGGUCCGGGAUGGGCAUGCGGCGCAUUAGCUUGUUGGCGGGGCAACGGCCCACCAAGGCGACGAUGCGUAGGGGUUCUGAGAGGAAGGUCCCCCACUGGUACUGAGACACGGACCAGACUCCUACGGGAGGCAGCAGUGGGGAAUA